GACGAACGCUGGCGGCGUGCUUAACCCAUGCAAGUCGAACGGAAAGGCCCUGCUUUUGUGGGGUGCUCGAGUGGCGAACGGGUGAGUAACACGUGAGUAACCUGCCCUUGACUUUGGGAUAACUUCAGGAAACUGGGGCUAAUACCGGAUAGGAGCUCCUGCUGCAUGGUGGGGGGUGGAAAGUUUCGGCGGUUGGGGAUGGACUCGCGGCUUAUCAGCUUGUUGGUGGGGUAGUGGCUUACCAAGGCUUUGACGGGUAGCCGGCCUGAGAGGGUGACCGGCCACAUUGGGACUGAGAUACGGCCCAGACUCCUACGGGAGGCAGCAGUGGGGAAUAUUGCACAAUGGGCGGAAGCCUGAUGCAGCAACGCCGCGUGCGGGAUGACGGCCUUCGGGUUGUAAACCGCUUUCGCCUGUGACGAAGCGUGAGUGACGGUAAUGGGUAAAGAAGCACCGGCUAACUACGUG
rnacentral:rRNA from 1 species